GAUCAGAUAGCACAGUGGUUAGUGCGCGGACGUCUUGAUUAUGGAAUGCCAUGUUGCCUGCUACCCUCGUUUGGUUCGGGGUCUGUUCA